rnacentral:lncRNA from 1 species
ACUUCCUGAUAAAAACUUUUGAAAACUUGAUUAAUUAAAUUAAGUAAUACAUUUAUAUUUACUAAUACAAUGAAUUACAAAUAUAGAAACCUAAUUUUGUUUUCUUUUUCCUCUUCUUUUCCAUUUUUAUCAUCUUCCCCAUUACCAUGUAACUCACCAAAAAUUUCAAAAUCUAAAAUAACCAAAUCAUUCAUCCUCUUCCCUUGUAACAAUCCAUGAAGCUAAAAAAUCUCAAAAUAAAAACCCCAAUUCAUUCAUCAUCUUCAAAAUUUUGCCCAAUCUCAAACUCACUAGGAAGAAUCAAAAAACCAAACCAAACCCAAACCUAAAAUUUCAGAAAUCUCAUGAGUAGAGGAAGAACCAAAAACCCAAACCCAAAUCUUCAUCUUCAUACCAAAAUUUAGAUCUGUCAUGGGAGAUGAGAACCAGAGGUUGGGCGGUGUCGGAGCCUAAAUUUGUCUUCUGUUUUGGAGUUGACGAUGUGAAUCUGUAUGAAUCUUCCUUGGACGUGUCAAAUGAAAAUCCAACGUCGAACACCGGAUCUACGCCGAACACCAGAAAUCCGUCUAAGUCAAUGUCGUCAUGACGAAAAGAAGACGCGAGAAGAUUUUGGGAAGGUAGGAGAAGAUUUCGAGAAGUCGUCGUCAUUGGAGAUCUGCAAUUAUAAAGAAUGAAAUGGAUUCAAUUCCCUGCAAAUCAAAUUUGGUCGAAGUCUAUAAUUUUUCUUUUCAGUCCCCAUCUUCCCCAAAUCGGAUUUUAGCCUUUUUAUUUUUUUUAGUUUAUUAUCCUAAGUUGGAUUGGAUUGUAUUGAUAUUGGUUUUGAUUUAUUUUUUAUUUUAUUAUUUGAUCUGCAAUAUUUUGGUAUUGUAUUACUUAAUUUUGUUUAGUUCUUAUGUACUUCUCCAAGUUGGGUUCUUUGGAGUAUUAUAUUAUUUAAUUAAUUAGUUGCUAUUUAAUUAAGUCAACUACUAUUAAUAUACAAUAUAUCAAGG